UACGAGUCAGUCAAGCAUUAAUUUAAUUAAAAAAAUUAAAAAAAUCAUUUCAUAUUUAAAAUAAGAUACAUUGUUAAUGAGCACUUUAGUUUCUUAUUUAAAAAAAUAAAAAAAAUAAAUAUUUUGAUAUUUGAGCCACACCAAUAUCAUUGGUAAACAUUAAAUUUACCAUUCAAGUAAAAAUUUAUUUUGAUUUUUACAAAUGUUUUAAUUUUAUUAUGCUUAUUUUAUUACCUCC
rnacentral:lncRNA from 1 species